CCUACGGGAGGCAGCAGUGGGGAAUAUUGCACAAUGGGGGAAACCCUGAUGCAGCGACGCCGCGUGAGUGAAGAAGUAUUUCGGUAUGUAAAGCUCUAUCAGCAGGGAAGAAAAUGACGGUACCUGACUAAGAAGCCCCGGCUUAGGGGGUGCCAGCAGCCGCGGUAAU
rnacentral:rRNA from 1 species